CUACGGGUGGCACCAGUGGGGAAUCUUAGACAAUGGGCGCAAGCCUGAUCUAGCCAUGCCGCGUGAGUGACGAAGGCCUUAGGGUCGUAAAGCUCUUUCGCUGGGGAAGAUAAUGACGGUACCCAGUAAAGAAACCCCGGCUAACUCCGUGCCAGCAGCCGCGGUAAUACGGAGGGGGUUAGCGUUGUUCGGAAUUACUGGGCGUAAAGCGCGCGGAGGCGGAUCAGAAAGUUGGGGGUGAAAUCCCGGGGCUCAACCCCGGAACUGCCUUCGAAACUCCUGGUCUUGAGUUCGAGAGAGGUGAGUGGAAUUCCGAGUGUAGAGGUGAAAUUCGUAGAUAUUCGGAGGAACACCAGUGGCGAAGGCGGCUCACUGGCUCGAUACUGACGCUGAGGUGCGAAAGCGUGGGGAGCAAACAGGAUUAGAUACCCGCGUAGUC
rnacentral:rRNA from 1 species